UAAGAUGAUAUUUUCUGACAACCCACUUGGUCUGACUUGUGGAAUGGUAUGUCCAACCUCUGAUCUUUGUGUAGGUGGAUGCAAUUUAUAUGCCACUGAAGAGGGACCCAUUAAUAUUGGUGGAUUGCAGCAAUUUGCUACUGAGACUUUGAUCCUGGCUUUCUCUUUAAUGAAUCAUUUGUAAAGACUGAUUCUCCGGACACUCUUGGGCUCUCUGACGUCUCCUAUUUGGAGGCAACUAGCAGGUAUUCAAAGCAAUGAGUAUCCCACAGAUCAGAAAUCCUUUCCUGCCUCCCCCAGAAAAAAUGUCUGAAGCCUAUUCUGCAAAGAUUGCUCUUUUUGGUGCUGGGCCUGCAAGUAUAAGUUGUGCUUCCUUUUUGGCUCGAUUGGGGUACUCUGACAUCACUAUAUUUGAAAAACAAGAAUAUGUUGGUGGUUUAAGUACUUCUGAAAUUCCUCAGUUCCGGCUGCCAUAUGAUGUAGUGAAUUUUGAGAUUGAGCUAAUGAAGGACCUUGGUGUAAAGGUAAAUGAAAAAAACACCUAUCUGUGUACUGCUCAAAAAAAAGGGAGUAAGCGCUACACUAAAGAUUAACAGCAAAUGUCACGCAUUUUAGGAAAGAACAAUUAAAAGCUACACCAGGCGGAAGCAGAAAGAUGCUUCCCCUUGCUUAGGGCAUUUGUCUGUCUACUGUCUGAAUGCCACUAGCCUGGAAAAGGGCAAUCAAUAGUUCUCAUCUGGCAUGCCUGCAUGUGAUUAAUUGUCUGUAAGAAACAAAUUCCUAAAUUGCUUUAGGGGUUCAGUGCAGCUAAUAGAAGGAUUUGGUUUCUUUAAUCACAUUUUUUCAUGCAAGUUGUGUGCACUCUGAAACAUUAGUAUUUCGCAAUUUGGAACAUUAUUUCUUACGGAGAUUUAUUUUAUUUACUAUAUUCAUCAUGUCAGUAGUGUGAAUGUGAUAAUCCUUUCUCAACACAAGCAGUAAAUCAGUGGGAUAGAAAGCAACAGCUUCGUAUUUUUUAUUAUUUUGUUAAAUAA
rnacentral:sRNA from 1 species